rnacentral:rRNA from 1 species
GAUGAACGCUAGCUACAGGCUUAACACAUGCAAGUCGAGGGGCAGCAUGGUCUUAGCUUGCUAAGGCCGAUGGCGACCGGCGCACGGGUGAGUAACACGUAUCCAACCUGCCGUCUACUCUUGGACAGCCUUCUGAAAGGAAGAUUAAUACAAGAUGGCAUCAUGAGUCCGCAUGUUCACAUGAUUAAAGGUAUUCCGGUAGACGAUGGGGAUGCGUUCCAUUAGAUAGUAGGCGGGGUAACGGCCCACCUAGUCUUCGAUGGAUAGGGGUUCUGAGAGGAAGGUCCCCCACAUUGGAACUGAGAUACGGUCCAAACUCCUACGGGAGGCAGCAGUGAGGAAUAUUGGUCAAUGGGCGCAGGCCUGAACCAGCCAAGUAGCGUGAAGGAUGACUGCCCUAUGGGUUGUAAACUUCUUUUAUAAAGGAAUAAAGUCGGGUAUGUAUACCCGUUUGCAUGUACUUUAUGAAUAAGGAUCGGCUAACUCCGUG